GCCGCCAACAGAGCCCUCGACCCGCCUCCUGCGCCCCCGCGUGCCUCUGGGUUGCAGCUGUCUUCCAGCCCAGCCGGCGCUCUGCGAAGCAGGGAUUACCUCUGGCGGCCGCAACUGCUUGCUGGAGCUGCCCCUGGCUGGUGUGUGUUCCAGGUAUCAAACUCAGGUUGUCAAGUUCGGCAUCAAGCACCUUUGCCCACUGAGCCGUCAUACACACCUUCUUGAGAAAGUGGUGUCUUGAAUGAUUCUGAACCUUAGACUUUCUGGAAAAGAUGGAAGGGGGGGAGACAAAAUGGAGAGAUAAGUGGUCAGCAGAAGGUGGAAGAAAGAGCUGGCUGAAUGAAUCACAGGAUGUUUCCAAGGCCGGAAGUCAUGGUGGAUACAGGGCAUGGCACUGUGUCUGUAAACCCCCAGAUCAGCAACAUUAAGGAUGAACCUGAUGGUGAACUGUGGACUUCAGGAAAUAACAUUGUGUCUAUAUUGCUUCAACAAUUGUAACAAGCAGUGCACAAGAAUGGACAAUGGCAAGUUUCCUUAGUUUUUGAGAUGCAGCCUUGUUGUGUAGUAUAAACUCAUCUUAAAUUCAUGGUUCUCCUGCAAGAGCA